AGAGUUUGAUCCUGGCUCAGGACGAACGCUGGCUGCGUGCUUAACACAUGCAAGUCGAACGCUGAAGCCUGGUGCUUGCACCGGGUGGAUGAGUGGCGAACGGGUGAGUAACACGUGAGUAACCUGCCCCUGACUUCGGGAUAAGCCCGGGAAACUGGGUCUAAUACCGGAUACGACUGCCGGACGCAUGUCUGGUGGUGGAAAGUUUUUUCGGUUGGGGAUGGGCUCGCGGCCUAUCAGUUUGUUGGUGAGGUAAUGGCUCACCAAGACGACGACGGGUAGCCGGCCUGAGAGGGCGACCGGCCACACUGGGACUGAGACACGGCCCAGACUCCUACGGGAGGCAGCAGUGGGGAAUAUUGCACAAUGGGGGAAACCCUGAUGCAGCGACGCAGCGUGCGGGAUGACGGCCUUCGGGUUGUAAACCGCUUUCAGCAGGGAAGAAGCGAAAGUGACGGUACCUGCAGAAGAAGUACUGGCUAACUACGUGCCAGCAGCCGCGGUAAUACGUAGGGUACGAGCGUUGUCCGGAAUUAUUGGGCGUAAAGAGCUCGUAGGUGGUUGGUCACGUCUGCUGUGGAAACGCAACGCUUAACGUUGCGCGUGCAGUGGGUACGGGCUGACUAGAGUGCAGUAGGGGAGUCUGGAAUUCCUGGUGUAGCGGUGAAAUGCGCAGAUAUCAGGAGGAACACCGGUGGCGAAGGCGGGACUCUGGGCUGUAACUGACACUGAGGAGCGAAAGCAUGGGGAGCGAACAGGAUUAGAUACCCUGGUAGUCCAUGCCGUAAACGUUUGGCACUAGGUGUGGGGGGCAUUCCACGUUCUCCGCGCCGUAGCUAACGCAUUAAGUGCCCCGCCUGGGGAGUACGGUCGCAAGGCUAAAACUCAAAGGAAUUGACGGGGGCCCGCACAAGCGGCGGAGCAUGCGGAUUAAUUCGAUGCAACGCGAAGAACCUUACCAAGGCUUGACAUACACCGGACCGUCCUGGAAACAGUCUUCUUCUUUGAAGCUGGUGUACAGGUGGUGCAUGGUUGUCGUCAGCUCGUGUCGUGAGAUGUUGGGUUAAGUCCCGCAACGAGCGCAACCCUCGUUCUAUGUUGCCAGCACGUGAUGGUGGGAACUCAUAGGAGACUGCCGGGGUCAACUCGGAGGAAGGUGGGGAUGACGUCAAAUCAUCAUGCCCUUUAUGUCUUGGGCUUCACGCAUGCUACAAUGGCUGGUACAGAGAGAGGCGAACCCGUGAGGGCAAGCGAAUCCCUUAAAGCCAGUCUCAGUUCGGAUCGUAGUCUGCAAUUCGACUACGUGAAGUCGGAGUCGCUAGUAAUCGCAGAUCAGCAACGCUGCGGUGAAUACGUUCCCGGGCCUUGUACACACCGCCCGUCAAGUCACGAAAGUCGGUAACACCCGAAGCCGGUGGCCUAACCCCUUGUGGGAGGGGGCCGUCUAAGGUGGGACUGGUGAUUGGGACUAAGUCGUAACAAGGUAGCC
rnacentral:rRNA from 1 species